AGCUCCAAUAGCGUAUAUUAAAGUUGUUGCAGUUAAAAAGCUCGUAGUUGGAUUUGUGGCUGUCUCGAGCGGCCUAGCACCUAGUGUUAGUGCCUGCUUGGGUCGCCAUCCUUGGGUGGAGCCUGUGUGGCAUUAGGUUGUCGUGCAGGGGAUGCCCAUCGUUUACUGUGAGAAAAUUAGAGUGUUCAAAGCAGGCUUAUGCCGUUGAAUAUGUUAGCAUGGAAUAAUAAGAUAGGACCUCGGUACUAUUUUGUUGGUUUGCGCACCGAGGUAAUGAUUAAUAGGGACAGUUGGGGGUAUUCGUAUUCCAUUGUCAGAGGUGAAAUUCUUGGAUUUCUGGAAGACGAACUACUGCGAAAGCAUUUACCAAGGAUGUUUUCAUUAAUCAAGAACGAAAGUA
rnacentral:rRNA from 1 species